rnacentral:rRNA from 1 species
AGUGAACGCUGGCGGUAGGCCUAACACAUGCAAGUCGAACGGCAGCACAGGAGAGCUUGCUCUCUGGGUGGCGAGUGGCGGACGGGUGAGGAAUACAUCGGAAUCUACUCUGUCGUGGGGGAUAACGUAGGGAAACUUACGCUAAUACCGCAUACGACCUACGGGUGAAAGCAGGGGACCUUCGGGCCUUGCGCGAUUGAAUGAGCCGAUGUCGGAUUAGCUAGUUGGCGGGGUAAAGGCCCACCAAGGCGACGAUCCGUAGCUGGUCUGAGAGGAUGAUCAGCCACACGGGAAAUGAGACACGGUCCAGACUCCUACGGGAGGCAGCAGUGGGGAAUAUUGGACAAUGGGCGCAAGCCUGAUCCAGCCAUACCGCGUGGGUGAAGAAGGCCUUCGGGUUGUAAAGCCCUUUUGUUGGGAAAGAAAUCCAGCUGGCUAAUACCCGGUUGGGAUGACGGUACCCAAAGAAUAAGCACCGGCUAACUUCGUGCCAGCAGCCGCGGUAA